UACGUAGGUGGCAAGCGUUGUCCGGAUUUAUUGGGCGUAAAGAGCUCGUAGGCGGUUUGUCGCGUCUGCUGUGAAAACCUAAGGCUCAACCUUGGGCUUGCAGUGGGUACGGGCAGACUAGAGUGCGGUAGGGGGUGACUGGAAUUCCUGGUGUAGCGGUGGAAUGCGCAGAUAUCAGGAGGAACACCGAUGGCGAAGGCAGGUCACUGGGCCGCAACUGGACG
rnacentral:rRNA from 1 species